UUGAGUUUGAUCCUGGCUCAGGAUGAACGCUGGCGGCGUGCCUAAUACAUGCAAGUCGAGCGAACCACUUCGGUGGGAAGCGGCGAACGGGUGAGUAACACGUAGGUGAUCUGCCCAUCAGACGGGGACAACGAUUGGAAACGAUCGCUAAUACCGGAUAGGACGAGAGUUUAAAGAUGCUCCUGGCAUCACUGAUGGAUGAGCCUGCGGCGCAUUAGCUAGUUGGUGGGGUAAAGGCCUACCAAGGCGACGAUGCGUAGCCGACCUGAGAGGGUGAACGGCCACACUGGGACUGAGACACGGCCCAGACUCCUACGGGAGGCAGCAGUAGGGAAUCUUCGGCAAUGGGCGAAAGCCUGACCGAGCAACGCCGCGUGAAUGAAGAAGGCCUUCGGGUUGUAAAAUUCUGUUAUAAGGGAAGAAAGGUGAUAGGAGGAAAUGACUAUCAAUUGACGGUACCUUAUGAGAAAGCCACGGCUAACUACGUGCCAGCAGCCGCGGUAAUACGUAGGGGGCGAGCGUUAUCCGGAUUCACUGGGUGUAAAGGGAGCGUAGACGGCCAUGCAAGCCAGGGGUGAAAGCCCGGGGCCCAACCCCGGGACUGCCCUUGGAACUGCAUGGCUGGAGUGCGGGAG
rnacentral:rRNA from 1 species